GACGAACGCUGGCGGCGUGGAUUAGGCAUGCAAGUCGAACGGUAUCAUCCUUUCGGGGGUGAGAGAGUGGCGAACUGGUGAGUAACACGUAGGUUAUCUACCCUCAAGACGGGGACAACCCAGGGAAACUUGGACUAAUACCGGAUGUGAGCAACUUUUAGUUGUUUGAAAGGUGGCGUAAGCUGUCGCUUGGGGAUGAGCCUGCGUCCUAUUAGUUAGUUGGUGAGGUAACGGCUCACCUAGGCAAUGAUAGGUAGGCGGCCUUAACGGGUGGUCGCCCACACUGGGAUUGAGAUACGGCCCAGACUCCUACGGGAGGCAGCAGUCGAGAAUAGUCUACAAUGGUCGGAAGACUGAUAGUGCGACGCCGCGUGAACGAUGAAUCCCUUCGGGGUUAAAGUUCUUUUAUAUGUGAGCAGUGCUUCUUAUAUUAACAGUAUGGGGAAGAGAUAUUAGCAUAUGAAUAAGCAACGGCUAACUCCGUGCCAGCAGCCGCGGUAA
rnacentral:rRNA from 1 species